GGGCGUGUGGCUCAGUUGGUAGAGCGUUCGCUUAGCAUGUUUCCCUCUACGAGCAUGCGAAAGGUCCUGGGUUCGAUUCCCAGCUCGUCCA
rnacentral:tRNA from 1 species